rnacentral:rRNA from 1 species
GUCUACGGCCAUGCUACCCUGAACAAGCCCGAUCCCAUCUGAUCUUGGAAGCUAAGCAGGGUUGGGCCUGGUUAGUACUUGGAUGGGAGACCACCUAGGAAGACCAGGUACUGCAGGUG